rnacentral:lncRNA from 1 species
AUGUGUAGGAAAUAAUUGCAAAAUCGUGUCACUAUGAAGCUUGUGUAGUGGCGCGAUAAAUACAGUAGCUGCAUGCUUGGAUUGAUUCAAGAACUUCACAAUUUUUCCUAAGUCUUUUUCUCUUUUGUCUUUAAUCUUCAAACUCUUUGACAUGUUAAUUUCUUCAUAAAUUCUUCUCUUUGACUAUGCAAUUCUACUAAAAACUAACUAAAAUACUUAAAAUAAUAAUGAAAAGUACUCAAAUGACCGAAUGUCAUCA